rnacentral:sRNA from 1 species
UAGUCGUAACAUGGCUGGUUUUGGAGAC